CCUACGGGAGGCUGCAGUGAGGAAUAUUGGUCAAUGGGCGCUAGCCUGAACCAGCCAAGUAGCGUGAAGGAUGACUGCCCUAUGGGUUGUAAACUUCUUUUAUAUGGGAAUAAAGUGCAGUAUGUAUACUGCUUUGCAUGUACCUUAUGAAUAAGGAUCGGCUAACUCCGUGCCAGCAGCCGCGGUAAUACGGAGGAUCCGAGCGUUAUCCGGAUUUAUUGGGUUUAAAGGGAGCGUAGGCGGGUUGUUAAGUCAGUUGUGAAAGUUUGCGGCUCAACCGUAAAAUUACAGUUGAUACUGGCAGCCUUGAGUACAGUAGAGGUAGGCGGAAUUCGUGGUGUAGCGGUGAAAUGCUUAGAUAUCACGAAGAACUCCGAUUGCGAAGGCAGCCUGCUGGACUGUAACUGACGCUGAUGCUCGAAAGUGUGGGUAUCAAACAGGAUUAGAUACCCUAGUAGUC
rnacentral:rRNA from 1 species